UACGUAGGGGGCAAGCGUUGUCCGGAUUCAUUGGGCGUAAAGCGCGUGUAGGCGGCUGAGUAGGUCUGAUGUGAAAACUCGAGGCUCAACCUCGAGACGUCGUCAGAAACCACUCGGCUAGAGUCCGGAAGAGGAGAGUGGAAUUCCUGGUGUAGCGGUGAAAUGCGCAGAUAUCAGGAAGAACACCAAUGGCGAAGGCAGCUCUCUGGGACGGUACUGACGCUGAGACGCGAAAGCGUGGGGAGCGAACAGG
rnacentral:rRNA from 2 species